rnacentral:rRNA from 1 species
CCUACGGGUGGCUGCAGUGGGGAAUAUUGGACAAUGGGCGAAAGCCUGAUCCAGCCAUGCCGCGUGUGUGAAGAAGGCCUUCGGGUUGUAAAGCACUUUCAGUGGGGAAGAAAGCCUUGGGGCUAAUACCCUCGAGGAAGGACAUCACCCACAGAAGAAGCACCGGCUAACUCCGUGCCAGCAGCCGCGGUAAUACGGAGGGUGCGAGCGUUAAUCGGAAUUACUGGGCGUAAAGCGCGCGUAGGCGGUCUGAUAAGCCGGUUGUGAAAGCCCCGGGCUCAACCUGGGAACGGCAUCCGGAACUGUCAGGCUAGAGUGCAGGAGAGGAAGGUAGAAUUCCCGGUGUAGCGGUGAAAUGCGUAGAGAUCGGGAGGAAUACCAGUGGCGAAGGCGGCUUUCUGGACUGACACUGACGCUGAGGUGCGAAAGCGUGGGUAGCAAACAGGAUUAGAUACCCCGGUAGUC